rnacentral:rRNA from 2 species
CUGCGAAUGGCUCAUUAUAUAAGUUAUCGUCUAUUUGAUAAUACCUUACUACUUGGAUAACCGUGGUAAUUCUAGAGCUAAUACAUGCUAAAAAUCCCGACUUCGGAAGGGUUGUAUUUAUUAGAUUAAAAACCAAUGCCCUCUGGGCUCUCUGGUGAAUCAUGAUAACUAGUCGAAUCGACAGGCCUUGUGCCGGCGAUGGCUCAUUCGAAUUUCUUCCCUAUCAACUUUCGAUGUUUGGGUAUUGGCCAAACAUGGUGGCAACGGGUAACGGAGGGUUAGGGCUCGACCCCGGAGAAGGAGCCUGAGAAACGGCUACUACAUCCAAGGAAGGCAGCAGGCGCGCAAAUUACCCAAUCCCGACUCGGGGAGGUAGUGACAAUAAAUACUGAUACAGGGCUCUUUUGGGUCUUGUAAUCGGAAUGAGUACAAUUUAAAUCCCUUAACGAGGAACAAUUGGAGGGCAAGUCUGGUGCCAGCAGCCGCGGUAAUUCCAGCUCCAAUAGCGUAUAUUAAAGUUGUUGUGGUUAAAAAGCUCGUAGUUGAACCUUGGGUCUAGCCGGCCGGUCCGCCUCACCGCGUGUACUGGUCCGGCUGGACCUUUCCCUCUGUGGAACCCCAUGCCCUUCACUGGGUGUGGCGGGGAAACAGGACUUUUACUUUGAAAAAAUUAGAGUGCUCAAGGCAGGCCUAUGCUCGAAUACAUUAGCAUGGAAUAAUGAAAUAGGACGUGCGGUUCUAUUUUGUUGGUUUCUAGGACCGCCGUAAUGAUUAAUAGGGACAGUCGGGGGCAUCAGUAUUCAAUUGUCAGAGGUGAAAUUCUUGGAUUUAUUGAAGACUAACUACUGCGAAAGCAUUUGCCAAGGAUGUUUUCAUUAAUCAGGAACGAAAGUUAGGGGAUCGAAGACGAUCAGAUACCGUCGUAGUCUUAACCAUAAACUAUGCCGACUAGGGAUCGGACGAUGUUAUAUUUUUGACGCGUUCGGCACCUUACGAGAAAUCAAAG